rnacentral:rRNA from 1 species
GACGAACGCUGGCGGCGUGCUUAACACAUGCAAGUCGAACGGAAAGGCCUGCUUUCCCUUGUGGAUUGCGGGUACUCGAGUGGCGAACGGGUGAGUAACACGUGAGUGAUCUGCCCCCAACUUGGGUAUAAGCCUGGGAAACUGGGCCUAAUUCCCGAUAGGACUGCAGGGUGGUGCCUGUGGUGGAAAACGAUUUUCUAGUGGUUGGGGAUGAGCUCGCGGCCUAUCAGCUUGUUGGUGGGGUAAUGGCCUACCAAGGCGGCGACGGGUAGCCGGCCUGAGAGGGUGGACGGCCACAUUGGGACUGAGAUACGGCCCAGACUCCUACGGGAGGCAGCAGUGGGGAAUAUUGCACAAUGGGCGGAAGCCUGAUGCAGCGACGCCGCGUGGGGGAUGACGGCCUUCGGGUUGUAAACUCCUUUCGACCGCGAGGAAGCCACCUGGUUGGAAGGGUGGUGACGGUAGUGGUAGAAGAAGCACCGGCUAACUACGUG